UACAGAGGUCCCAAGCGUUGUUCGGAUUCAUUGGGCGUAAAGGGUGCGUAGGUGGCGCCGUAAGUCGGGUGUGAAAUUUCGGAGCUUAACUCCGAAACUGCAUUCGAUACUGCGGUGCUUGAGGACUGGAGAGGAGACUGGAAUUCAUGGUGUAGCAGUGAAAUGCGUAGAGAUCAUGAGGAAGACCAGUGGCGAAGGCGGCUUUCUGGGCAUUUCCUGACGCUGAGACGCGAAAGCGUGGGGAGCGAACCGG
rnacentral:rRNA from 1 species